UACGUAGGGGGCGAGCGUUGUCCGGAAUUAUUGGGCGUAAAGAGCGCGUAGGCGGUCCUUUAAGUCAGAUGUGAAAGCCCAGGGCUCAACCCUGGAAGUGCAUUUGAAACUAAAGGACUUGAGUAUGGGAGAGGGAAGUGGAAUUCCUGGUGUAGCGGUGAAAUGCGUAGAGAUCAGGAGGAACACCGGUGGCGAAGGCGACUUCCUGGACCAAUACUGACGAUGAGGCGCGAAGGAGUGGGGAGCAAACAGG
rnacentral:rRNA from 1 species